UUCUUGACCGCUGACUAUUGAUCAUGAUGAACUCUUCCUUUGGUAAACUUCCACUUAGGGAAGUCUAGUUUGGAAACAUCUGAUUCUGAUUACUGUAAGCAUAAUGAACUCACUCAUUUGUCAAAUGAAGGAGAUUCCUUUCCUUCAAAGCUUUAGCCGAAAUUAUGGUUACAGCACUGUUAGCUUAUUCAUGAAAUUCUGAACGUUGGUUACAAGUUGCAAGCUGGGCAGAAAUCAUCCAGGAGGGAUCAACUAGAAUCUGAACACUUGUGCAGCCUUCUAGAAUCUUUUUUUUUAUCUUAAAUAAACGAACAAAGUUGACAGUUUCCAAACACACAGGUCAAUUUCCACCACCGCAACUUGCUGGCUGCAUCUGAUAGCUUCUCUUUGCCUGUAAAUCAAGACAGUUAAGUUUCAUCUUCAAGCAAAUGAAAAGUGUAUUAUUAUAUUUUGAAAAAUGAGACAAGAAAAGUACACCAGUGGUAUGCAUACAUUCGUUAGUAGUACAACUAACCCAGAAAUGAAACAAUAAGAACAAGUGAAGUUUGAUUGUACUAACACUAUUGAAUCGGUACAAUCCAAAGAGAAAGAGUUGAUCUUUACUUGGAUGGGAAGGAAGUGUCAAAUGUGGGACAGCUAACCAUUCCAAUUUGGAAGGGGAGGAAGUCAAAGAUGAACGAUUUUACAGGUGAAGAAGACAAGAGAGAAGAAUAUGGAAAGGAAGAUUAGUUGCAGCUAUAGUUUGGAAGAUGGAGGUGGGUGAGCAGAUCUCAAGUCCUUGUUUGAUGUGGGGAACUCAAAACUCAAAAGUCAUUAAUGGUUGAUAAUUCUCUGGGGAUUUGAUUAUGACUAGCUAGGGGAUGGAGAGUAGUUGUACAACUAAACCCAGAACUGGGUAGGAAUUAUUUGGAACCGACUGUUCCAAGAGUUGUAACAGAGUUGUUGAAUUAUUUGCGAGCUUCCUACCCUACAGCGAAUUGGUUUGGUAAAAGUCACUUCUAGACUUGCUUGGGAAGAAGGUUUUCUUUUCUUUUUUACAUCUGUAAAGGUGGUAAAACUUGCAAUUACCAAUUCAAACUCAAGGUUAACUUAAAUAUCCUAUUGACAAUUAGA
rnacentral:lncRNA from 1 species